rnacentral:lncRNA from 7 species
AAAUCGACCAACAGAACCAUAACUGCAGAAUAAUGGAACUGCCCAAAUAUCAAUUUUAAUCUUGCCCAGAGAAAACAACAAAGCGAAUAAAAAGGUGUAAAUUAGAAGAGAAUGAAGAAAGAAGAACAAACAAGACUGGACUGAGAAGACAGACAAGCUUUUCUGAAGACAUUUAGAGAUGUGGCUUUUCUGCUUGCUCACUUUCUGAAAUAAUCUGUUUUGUUGUUAUUGUUGUGAUUGGUUUUAAUCUAACAGCUACUUCCCAUGCAUGUGUACUAAGAUUUGGUCACAAACAGCACCAGUAGAGAGAAAGCCCUAUUCCAAAUAUAAUUUCCUAAAAUAGAGGUGGAAUGGCUUGAGAUCAUAUUCAGAAACUAAGGCAGUUUUGUUGCACCAUCAUACCUUUGCACUCUGUCCUUACGUCCAUCAAUCAAUUUUCCUUUUGAUUCAUUUGCAAUUGGUAACAACAGUUACUUGUUUUUAGAAAAUUGUUGUUUUUAUCACAUACUGAUAUAAUCACAAUUUUCUAUUGUCUUGCAAAUGACUUCACCUUUUCUGAAAAAAAAAACAAGCCACCAAAACAACAAAAGUUUCAUCAUUCAUCUUAU